UACGAGUGCCUCGAGCGUUAUCCGGAAUCAUUGGGCGUAAAGGGUGUGUAGGUGGUUAUGCUAGUCUUGCGUAAAAUCUUCCGGCUCAACCGGGAACUCGCGCGGGAAACGGCAUGACUUAGAGGACGGGAGAGGUUUCUGGAACUCAUGGUGUAGCGGUGAAAUGCGUUGAUAUCAUGGGGAACACCGAAAGCGAAGGCAAGAAACUGGCCCGCUCCUGACACUGAAACACGAAAGCGUGGGUCGCGAAUGGG
rnacentral:rRNA from 1 species